rnacentral:rRNA from 1 species
AGGACGAACGCUGGCGGCGUGCUUAACACAUGCAAGUCGAGCGGAAAGGCCCACUUGUGGGUACUCGAGCGGCGAACGGGUGAGUAACACGUGAGUAAUCUGCCCUUCACUUUGGGAUAACUGCCUGAAAGGGUGGCUAAUACCGGAUAUGACUGCUGCCUGCAUGGGUGGUGGUGGAAAGCUUUUGUGGUGGGGGAUGUGCUCGCGGCCUAUCAGCUUGUUGGUGGGGUAAUGGCUUACCAAGGCUUUGACGGGUAGCCGGCCUGAGAGGGUGACCGGCCACACUGGGACUGAGACACGGCCCAGACUCCUACGGGAGGCAGCAGUGGGGAAUAUUGGACAAUGGGCGAAAGCCUGAUCCAGCAAUGCCGCGUGGGUGAAGAAGGUCUUCGGAUUGUAAAGCCCUUUCGACGGGGACGAUGAUGACGGUACCCGUAGAAGAAGCCCGGCUAACUUCGCGCCAGCAGCCGC